CUGGGCUACAUCGGUGGUCAUUCGUGCGACUGGGUUUGCGAUACACGAGAUCAUGAUGCGGCAUUUUUCCGGAUUGUGUCUCUUCUUUACCAUUCUCGUCUUGCGAGAAGUGUCUACUCAAGAUGAGAGAACAAAGAUUGUUGGCGGGACAGAGGCAGCUCCUGGCGAGUUUCCUUUCGUGGU
rnacentral:lncRNA from 1 species